UAGGGAAUCUUCGGCAAUGGGGGCAACCCUGACCGAGCAACGCCGCGUGAGUGAAGAAGGUUUUCGGAUCGUAAAGCUCUGUUGUAAGUCAAGAACGGGUGUGAGAGUAGAAAGUUCACACUGUGACGGUAGCUUACCAGAAAGGGACGGCUAACUACGUGCCAGCAGCCGCGGUAAUACGUAGGUCCCGAGCGUUGUCCGGAUUUAUUGGGCGUAAAGCGAGCGCAGGCGGUUUGAUAAGUCUGAAGUUAAAGGCUGUGGCUCAACCAUAGUUCGCUUUGGAAACUGUCAAACUUGAGUGCAGAAGGGGAGAGUGGAAUUCCAUGUGUAGCGGUGAAAUGCGUAGAUAUAUGGAGGAACACCGGUGGCGAAAGCGGCUCUCUGGUCUGUAGCUGACGCUGAGGCUCGAAAGCGUGGGGAGCGAACAGGAUUAGAUACCCUGGUAGUCCACGCCGUAAACGAUGAGUGCUAGGUGUUGGAUCCUUUCCGGGAUUCAGUGCCGCAGCUAACGCAUUAAGCACUCCGCCUGGGGAGUACGACCGUAAGGUUGAAACUCUAAAGUGAAUUGACG
rnacentral:rRNA from 1 species